rnacentral:lncRNA from 1 species
CAAGAACAAGCAAAACAAAGCAAGAAAAAGGAAGGGAAUCACCGUGCGCGCUGCCGCCGCAGCUCCUGUCUGAUCGUGGCGUUCAAAUUCGUGAGGCUUUCCUGUAGUGCAUCCACGUUCCCGUCAUCUGUUUUUUUUUUUUUUUUUUAUUAAUAAACUGAAACAAAAAUUAAAUCUAAAGAAAGGGAAUUAAAACUGAACGAAACGGAAAUAAAGAAAAAGAAAAACAAAACGGGAGAAACAAAGGGAAAGAAAAUCGGGUUGCCUCCCGAUAAGCGCCAUUAUUUAACGUCGUCGGCUCGACUGUUGAUGCAAUCAGAAUCUCGUCUGAGGUGACAAUGGAAUUUCUUCCACUGUUGUCAUAUGAGAUGCAUCGCAAUAUGGCUCCAACUUGUGAUAGUUGACUACAAACGUCUUUGCCGUAGCCAAACUCUUAAUCUC